ACAGGUGCUGCAUGGCUGUCGUCAGCUCGUGUUGUGAAAUGUUGGGUUAAGUCCCGCAACGAGCGCAACCCUUAUCCUUUGUUGCCAGCGGUCCGGCCGGGAACUCAAAGGAGACUGCCAGUGAUAAACUGGAGGAAGGUGGGGAUGACGUCAAGUCAUCAUGGCCCUUACGACCAGGGCUACACACGUGCUACAAUGGCGCAUACAAAGAGAAGCGACCUCGCGAGAGCAAGCGGACCUCAUAAAGUGCGUCGUAGUCCGGAUUGGAGUCUGCAACUCGACUCCAUGAAGUCGGAAUCGCUAGUAAUCGUGGAUCAGAAUGCCACGGUGAAUACGUUCCCGGGCCUUGUACACACCGCCCGUCACACCAUGGGAGUGGGUUGCAAAAGAAGUAGGUAGCUUAACCUUCGGGAGGGCGCUUACCACUUUGUGAUUCAUGACUGGGGUGAAGUCGUAACAAGGUAACCGUAGGGGAACCU
rnacentral:rRNA from 1 species